UACGUAGGGCGCAAUCGUUAUCCGGAAUUAUUGGGCGUAAAGAGCUCGUAGGCGGUUUGUCGCGUCUGCCGUGAAAGUCCGGGGCUCAACUCCGGAUCUGCGGUGGGUACGGGCAGACUAGAGUGAUGUAGGGGAGACUGGAAUUCCUGGUGUAGCGGUGAAAUGCGCAGAUAUCAGGAGGAACACCGAUGGCGAAGGCAGGUCUCUGGGCAUUAACUGACGCUGAGGAGCGAAAGCAUGGGGAGCGAGCAGG
rnacentral:rRNA from 1 species